rnacentral:lncRNA from 10 species
UGAAGGAACAUGGCCCUGUAUCAGAGGUGGCGGUGUCUCCGGCUCCAAGGUUUACAGGCUUGCAGGCUACACACGGCAGUUGUGUCGACCCCUCCACGCUGGUUGGCAGAGCGGCUUGGCCUUUUUGAGGAGCUGUGGGCUGCUCAGGUAAAGAGAUUAGCAAGCAUGGCACAGAAGGAACCCCGGACUAUUAAGAUAUCACUUCCUGGAGGCCAGAAAAUUGAUGCUGUGGCAUGGAACACAACCCCCUACCAACUAGCCCGGCAGAUCAGGUAACAGGCCCAUCCUGUAACUACCAGGAUUAUCCUUCUGCCCCUUUACUUUCUCUUCACUUGAGCAGGGGAAGAAAACUUGGUCUGCUUGUUUCUGUUCCGUCCCCAUUAAGAUAGCCUUUCCUGAAGAUUUUGUUUUUGUUUUUUGUUGUUGUUCUUUUAUACAGACGGGGUCUCUCCAUGUUGCCCAGGCUAGUCUUGAACUCCUGGGCUCAAGCGAUCCUUCCAUCUCAGCCUCCCGAAGUGCUGGGAUUACAGGCAUGAGCCACCAAACCCGGCCUGAGAUUUGUUUUAUCUGUAUUAGUUUCUGCAUCAGAGUCUCUGUCCUUUCAUUGGGGAAAGAAAUGAAAGCUUCUGUUGCUCUGGUAACUCAUUUCACCUUUGCAAGUUUACAGUUGCUGAGAGAUGAGCAACUUUCUCCCCACUGUGGAUUGUAACCCUGUCUGUUUUAAAUCAUUAAUUUACUUUUUAAUAAUUGAUACAUAAUAAUUGAACAUAUGAAUGGGUAUAUGUGAUAUUUUGAUAUAUGCAUACAAUAUGUAAUGAUCAAAUCAGGGUGUUCAGGAUAUCUGUUACCC